AACAAGCAUCAGCGCCCUUAUUUCGCUUGCUUACCGCCAGUAGAUCAUCGAUGAUCUACAUGUGAUGACGUCAUAGUUUAUUAGAGAUCAGUUGUGGGGCCUGAAGUAAUAGUAGGUAUUGGUUAAAGCCGAUUUGAAUCGAUCUUGAAUAUAGCUUGCUACGUAUUCCCUUGAAUUUUGUUUCUAUUGUGAGUGUCGAACAAUCCUCGAGUAGCCUAUUUUACAUUGUCUUCUUUACAUUGUCUAUUUCUCAUUGUCACUUCCAAAAUCUCCUCUAAUACAGGGGAGAGGAGAUCAACCUGUAGUGUUCAUCCCACACAGCACAAAAAGUUUAAAAAGCGUUUAAUAAAUUGAUAAAUGUUUGAAAUGUAUAAAUCCGAUAAACGUUAUGAAAACAACGUUUAAUAAACGUUAGGGAAUUUUACUAAAAUGAACGUUCACUCUAUAAACGUUUAAUAAACGUCUAGAAUGUAUAUUGCUGAUAAACGUUAUGAAAACAACGUUUGAUAAACUUAGAAAUGUUUACUAAAAUAAACGUUAGAAAGGUUGGUACAGUAUGGAAUUUCUACAGUACCUACCCAGUCAACACACUAAGUGAAAAUGUUAUAAGUGAAAAUCAAACAUUUUUUUCAGAAGGUGUCUCCUCCCCCCUCACCUGUGUAACUUAAUCCCUAAAAAUGUCUCAAUUUAGGCUUUCUGACCAAUAGGCCUAAUUCCUAAGUGGAAUUGAAUUCCAAUCCCUUUCUAUCUUCUUCAAAAAUCGUCUCCAACUCACCGUUAUCGAGAUAAAGAAAAUGUUUUACACAAAUUAAGACUGAAAUUUUUUUGAGUUUUCCAAAAAGUCUCACUUUAAGCUUUUUGUUAAUCAAUUCGGGUGCAGAAUUGCAAUUCAAAUACUUUUUGUCUUUUGCGAAAAUCGUCUAAAAUGCACUGUUAACGAUAUAAUUGACCUUUUGCGCUAAAUCCACAGGGACUUAGAAUAAAUUUGCCAGAUGUUCAAGUUUCCCAAAAAAGUCGAAAAAUUGUAUUUCUAAUCAAUAGUUCGGAUGCAGGAUUGAAUUUCAAACACUUUUUGUCUCUUGCGAAAAUCGUCUACAACGUACUGUUGAUGAUAUAAUAGACCUUUUGCGCUAAUUUUAAUCCAGAUAGGACUUGGAAAAAAUUUGAUCGAUUUCUAAGUUUCCUAAAAAUGUUCAAAAAAGCAGUCUUUUAUCACUUAUUCGGCUACAGAAGUAGAUUUCCAGCACUUCUUCUCAAUGCAAAAAUCCCGUCAGACGGGCCGUUGACGGGCUACUAACGUUUAAAAUUUUAAAUAAUUGGUAAUUGAUGAUGGAGAAUUUUGAAAAAAAUAAUUAACGAUUCUGUUCAUGUUAUAAACAUUGUCCUAGAAUUUCAAAUGUUUCCAUCCAAAAUUGAAAAAGUUAUAUCAUUUUUUCAAAUUAGAUUCCAGUUUGUGCUAAAAAUCAUGUCACACACCAAGCCUAUGAAAUAAUUUUCAAGUUUUAAAUUCAAAUAAUAAUAAACUAGGUACUAUUUUAUUGAUUCCAACAUUAUUUCAGUGGAAGCACAAAAUUAAUGUCCCCCAUAAAGAAAUCAUUAAUCCGUCCCAGAAAUAUGGACUGUUUUAAUGUUAACAAUAAAGAUUGUCUAUAUCAAUAACUUUGAAACUCCCGGGGUGAUUCAUGCUUGUGCACUACUGCGCUUGAGCGACAGCCAUUAAAGAUGUCCUGUGCCUGUCUCCUUCAGUUUUCAGUAGUUGAAGGUGAAGUUCGUUCAUUGUUUGUUUAUCCUUUAUUUUAUCGCAUCAUCAAGUUGAUGAUAAUUUUUGAUUGCUGAAGGUCUUAAAUUAAGGUAAGAUCAUUCAUUUAUGUCUAGGAUAUUUAUUGAUAAGUUUAAUAGCAUACAGAAGUUACCUACUAAACAAAGCUGUUUAGCCUAGUUUUGGCAAAGCGUUAUUCCCCAGAUAAAUUUGUAAAGCACAUGUUGUUUUUAAAAGCACUAUGGUAAAUAAUAAAUUAUGUUAGGCCCUAUUAAUAACCCUGAUACAACAUUAAUUGCAAUGUUUAGUGUGUAUAAGUUAAUUUUUUCCAUUUUUAAACCCAAACAGUUGAUUUAACCAACUGUUAACAUUGUUGGUACCUUAAACUUGUAAAACAACUAUCAAGUGUGGUUUUGAUUUUAUUAUUUAGACGAAGGUGGGAAUAGAACUGCAGAUACAUAUUAUUCUAAAAUCCACCAUGACAGAUGAAUAUGAUGCCAAGGAUUAGAUUUGAAAAAAGUUCUUCUCUCUACAUUUGAUGAAAGCCAUUUUCAGCAAAGGUGGGAAUAGAACUGCAGACGCAUAUACCAAAAUCCACCAUGACAGACGAAUAUGCUGCCAACUACAGUUUUAGAUUUAAAACUCCUUUCUACAUCUGAUGGAAACCAUUUUCAGACCAAGAGUAGAGAGACUACGCCUCAUGAAGCUCAAAUCGAGGACGAUAGCAGUUCAAAGUAAAAAUAUAUAAUUAGUUAUAAAUUGAAAGUUCAUUUUUGUAAUAUUUAAUAAAAAUCAUUGCAUUUUAUUGAAAA